rnacentral:sRNA from 1 species
ACAUGGGGGCAGACGGCGGAGAGCUGGGAUGGAGCGCGCCUUGGCCCGCUGGCCUGGGCCGCGGCUCCUCCGGAGAGCCCGGGCGCCCACGCGAGAACCUCCCUACCCGGGUCUGUCUUCAAGGAUGACACCUUCCGUCUGCCUUCCUGCCACCAAGGACCACCUGUGGAUGACGAGCUGAUGCCCAGAGGACGCCAGGAGCAGGGGUUCCUGGAUCCCACCAGCAAACAAAGCAACCACUGGGCAGUGACCGCCCCCCCAGGCCGCCGAAGAUUGAAGAGGACCCGAACUGACCAACCAGCUGUCCCUCUUGGCUAAGCGUUGAAACCAGUGCCCUAGUGAGGGGGCACUGGCUAACCUCGGACUUUCGAUGUGCUUUUUGCCUUGAUGCUUUGCUUUUCUAUGUGCGUCUGCUUCUGUUAACCUUCCAUCAACCUGGAGGUUUCACCAUCCCAGGGAGGUGUCAGUCUUUCUCAGUCCACCCC